AGGGUGGGCUGAUGGAACGCCCGUCACAUGACGGGAGGAAAGUCUGGGCAUCAAAAAGCCACGGACCGGCGAAUAGCCGGAUGCCGCAAGGCAAUGGACGCGCCACAGAAACCAGACCGCCACACAAGGCAAGGGUGAAACGGUGGGGUAAGAGCCCACCGCGGUCGGCAUAAGUCGAGUGGCAUGGCAUGCCCUCCGUGAUGCAAGGCCAAAUAGGCAUCCGAUACUGAUGGCUUUUCAGUGGAUGCGGGUAGGCUGCUUGAGAAAAGUGGUAACGCUUUUCCAAGAGAGAUGUUCCAUCGCGACAGAACCCGGCUUACAGGCCCACCCAGUUU
rnacentral:RNase_P_RNA from 1 species